rnacentral:tRNA from 1 species
AGCUCAGUGGUAGAGUGCUUGCCUUGCAUGCAUGAGAUCCUGGGUUCAAUUCCUCAG